GGAGAGAUGGAUGAGUGGCUUAAAUCAACGGUUUACUAAACCGUCAUACCUUAAUUGGUAUCGCGAGUUCGAAUCUCGCUCUCUCCG
rnacentral:tRNA from 1 species